UACGAAGGGAGCUAGCGUUGUUCGGAAUCACUGGGCGUAAAGCGCACGUAGGCGGACGUGUCAGUCAGGGGUGAAAUCCCAGAGCUCAACUUCGGAACUGCCUUUGAUACAGCACGUCUUGAGUCCGGAAGAGGUGGGUGAAAUUCCUAGUGUAGAGGUGAAAUUCGUAGAUAUUAGGAAGAACACCGGUGGCGAAGGCGGCCCACUGGUCCGGUACUGACGCUGAGGUGCGAAAGCGUGGGGAGCAAACAGG
rnacentral:rRNA from 1 species